GGCCUAACACAUGCAAGUCGAGCGGUAGCGGGCCUGACCACUCUCGAGUGGUUCAGGCGCCGACGAGCGGCGGACGGGUGCGUAACACGUAGGAAUCUGCCCGGUAGUGGGGGAUAGCCCGGAGAAAUUCGGAUUAAUACCGCAUACGCCCUAAGGGGGAAAGCAGGGGAUCGGUUCGCCGACCUUGCGCUAUCGGAUGAGCCUGCGUCGGAUUAGCUGGUUGGUGGGGUAAAGGCCUACCAAGGCGACGAUCCGUAGCUGGUCUGAGAGGAUGAUCAGCCACACUGGGACUGAGACACGGCCCAGACUCCUACGGGAGGCAGCAGUGGGGAAUAUUGCACAAUGGGCGAAAGCCUGAUGCAGCCAUGCCGCGUGUGUGAAGAAGGCCCUAGGGUUGUAAAGCACUUUCAGUGGGGAGGAAAGGUCGAAGGUUAAUACCCUUUGGCUGUGACGUUACCCACAGAAGAAGCACCGGCUAACUCCGUGCCAGCAGCCGCGGUAAUACGGAGGGUGCGAGCGUUAAUCGGAAUUACUGGGCGUAAAGCGUGCGUAGGCGGCCAUUUAAGUUGGAUGUGAAAGCCCCGGGCUCAACCUGGGAACUGCAUCCAAAACUGGGUGGCUUGAGUGCGGGAGAGGAGUGUGGAAUUUCCUGUGUAGCGGUGAAAUGCGUAGAUAUAGGAAGGAACACCAGUGGCGAAGGCGACACUCUGGCUUGACACUGACGCUGAGGUACGAAAGCGUGGGGAGCAAACAGGAUUAGAUACCCUGGUAGUCCACGCCGUAAACGAUGUCUACUAGUUGUCGGUGGUCUUGUACUGCUGGUAACGCAGCUAACGCGAUAAGUAGACCGCCUGGGGAGU
rnacentral:rRNA from 1 species